ACGUCAAGUCAUCAUGGCCCUUAUGUCCGAGGGCGACACACGUGCUACAAUGGCCGGCACAGCGGGAAGCGAGGGGCGACCUUGAGCGGAUCCCUCAAAGCCGGUCUCAGUUCGGAUUGCAGUCUGCAACUCGACUGCAUGAAGUUGGAAUCGCUAGUAAUCGUGGAUCAGCCAAGCCGCGGUGAAUACGUUCCCGGGCCUU
rnacentral:rRNA from 1 species